CUACAUGUGAUUAUCCAUGGUCUGUCUUCACUUUUACCCACCUCCUGGAAUCAGAGGAUCCAGUGGAAAUCUCCAAGACUUGACUAAUGCUAAAAACAUGUGUUUCAGUAGCCUGCUGGAGAUGAAUGGGUCUUCUUUGAACCCGAAGGCUGACCUUGCCCUGCCUGAGUGGCGAGCGCCCUGUGUGCAAAGAAUUUGAAAGAUUCUAGUUGGCUGGAGUGCCAGUCCCAGCGCUGACUUGGACCAGGCUGGCGGAGGCUUUGGGACCCACAGUGCCGGCGAGUGACUUCCUGGUGCAGAGCCGCGGUCUGGAGAUCUGCAGGACCCGGAACUUCCUGGCGUGGGCGACCCACGGUGCUACCCCCGCGCUUUCACCAGAGUCCCAUUUGGAAUCCUGAGCCAAGGUCUCAGAUUGCCGCAUCAGCUGCCAACAGCAAAUGUUAUCUGUCUUCUGGAUAUCUUGGCAGGAAACGCACAUUUUUAUACCUCCAGGCCAGCCAAAGCCUUGAGGCCGGUUGACUUCCCGGUGAUCUCACUGAGUCCUGCGCUCUGCCCGGAGUGAAGCCUGAGCCGUGACCCUCGGGCAGCACAGCUGUGACACUCCUGCCUCUCUGGUCUUCCGCUGCGGCCUCCCCCUGCCUCUCCUUGAGCUUGCCGUGGCUGCCCUCGUUUGUCCUGAGAUCCCGUUACUUUAUGAAUGUCUCUCCAUCCUACUGCUACAGACCCCUCGUGGAAUCCUUUUUGCUCUCUUUGAAACUAGAUCCUUCCAUGGAUCCCAUCUGCGCCAGGGGCCUGUCACAGUCCUCAGCUGAGAUGUUCCAGGGCUUUCCCCAGAACCAGCCCUCCCACCAUCCUGGGAGGCUUGUUUUGAGACAGGGUCUCACUGUGUAGUUCAGGCUGGCCUUGAACUCACUAGGUAGCCCAGGCUGACCUCAAAC